rnacentral:rRNA from 1 species
AAAAGCUUUCUUUAAUUGAAUAAUUGAAUUUAAUUUUUUAGUGCAAAAGCAAAAAUAAAAAUUAGGGACAAGAAGACCCUAUGAAUUUUUUAUUAAAUUUUAUAAAACUUUAUAUAAAAUUUAAUUUAAUUGGGGUGAUGGAAAAAGAAUAAAUAUCUUUUUUUUUAAAAAAAAAUUGGUUCCGUUUUUAGCGAUUAAAUGAAAAAAAUACUCUAGGGAUAACAGCGUAAUAAUUUUGGAUAGUUCAUAUAGAUAAAAUAGUUUGCGACCUCGAUGUUGGAUUAGGAUUCUUUUUUGGNGAANAAGUUAAAAAAA